AUCACUUUGAUGAUCAAAACAAUACUUUUGUCAUUAUGAGAUUUUAGACAUGAAAAAACUUUGGGGACUUGAACUAAGGAGAU